CAUACCUCCUCUUCUGUCGGCUUCCAAGAAAAACAAAGUGUUGGCAGACAGUUCUUCCUCCCCCGUGAUCCCUCUGACCAGCACCCAAGCGAGAUCGAACCCCCGAGAACAAGACCUGGACAGCUUCAUGCACUGUGGUCCUUCCUGUCCCCUCUACAGCGUCCAGCACAUAGUAAGACAAGUGGUCAUUGAAUGAAGGACACAGGCACACCACCAACCCAACCAGAAUGACCACUUCCGGGCAUUUCUUCAGAAACAGGCUUCCUGGUAACCUGGCAGCGUCUCCUCAGCUUGGGACUAGCCUACCCACCUUCUUCUAGUGGCCUGGCUGGUCUGGCCAUCCCUGCUGCUCCGAAGCUGCCAACACCUGCAGGACUUCCGGCUGCUCCGCCAUUGUGCUUUGAACAUGCGUCUUAAUUACAACGAGAAAAAAAGUCACACAGUAGAGAAACCUGGCAGAUGCCACCGUGAUCAAGUGAUCAAAGCGAACACCACCAGUCACGGAUCAAAUGGACACCGUGUGCCUCCCGAUAUGAUGCCCUGAGAAGGAGACACAUGCCCUCGGUGGGGUUUCUGCCAAGCAUGCAGAGCCUGGACCCGGUCACAG